AAACGGAAAAUUAUACAUUUUGUUUCCUACCAUGUUCUUUAAUCUGACGUGAUAAAAAUGUCAUUUCUCUGGUAAUUAAUUGCAUUUGUAUUUCCUUUCAGGCAAAUGUAAAAGAGUUCCUGAUUCAAUCAUUACUGAGACGAAACAUAAAGAAAACUAACUAACAACUUCAGAAAAAAAUAGAUCCUUUUUAAGUUGUGAAGAAGGCGUAAGUUGCAGAAGACAUCGUUCAGAAGACGAAUAAUAGGAAAACGAGACGCAAGUGAGAGAGAAAUAAAGAGGAAGAGUGAAAAAAGGAGAGAGUGAGAGAGAGAGAAAUAAAAGGGAGAGAGAGAGACAGAGAAUAAAAAUGAAGAAGAAUUCGACUUUUAGGAUUUCUGUUCAAGACCACUAUUUGCCAGAAGAGGUCAACUUCUGGACAAUGGCGAUAGUGGCUGUGGGCACGGGCUUCAUCCUCACCGUCGCCGUGUCAAUCUACCUCAUCUGACGCGCCUCGAACACCCCUUUCCAGCCCACCCUCCGCGGAUGGUACGCCACAUCAGCCAGGGCCCCGACGCCCUUCCCCUUGCCCUCCCGCACGCCCACCACGACUUCCACGACCUCCAUGACGACCAGCUGGAUGACCUCGACGACCUCGAUGACCCGGCCACGCCCUUACGCUACUUGAACGCCUCCGCGACGCCUCUGAACGACUAGCGAUGGGGACGUCUAAGCGACUAAGGAGAGGGUCGUCCAUGGGUUUUAGUAAUAGUGAUGAUAAUUAUAUUGAUA
rnacentral:lncRNA from 1 species